rnacentral:rRNA from 1 species
UGUAAGCACAUGCCUUAAAACGGUAAAGCCGCGAAUGGCUCGGUAUAACAGCCACUGUUUAUUAAACUCUAGUAAUCUACUUGGAUAACUGUGGCAAUUCUAGAGCUAAUACAUGCACGCAGGCUCGGACCUUUUGGGAAGAGCGCAUUUAUUAGACCAAAACCAAUCGGGCUUCGGCCUGUGUUUUGGUGACUCUGAAUAACUCAGUCGAUCGCACAGUCUUAGUACUGGCGACGUAUUUUUCAAAUGUCUGCCUUAUCAACUUUCGAUGGUAGGUUAUACGCCUACCAUGGUUAUAACGGGUAACGGAGAAUUAGGGUUCGACUCCGGAGAGGGAGCCUGAGAAAUGGCUACCACAUCCAAGGAAGGCAGCAGGCGCGCAAAUUACCCAAUCCCAGAACGGGGAGGUAGUGACGAAAAAUAACGAGGUAAUCCACUUUGUGGCUUGCCAUCGGAAUGGGCACAAUAUAAU